AUUGAACGCUGGCGGCAUGCUUUACACAUGCAAGUCGAACGGUAACAGGCCGCAAGGUGCUGACGAGUGGUGAACGGGUGAGUAAUGCAUCGGAACGUGCCCAGUCGUGGGGGAUAACGCAGCGAAAGCUGUGCUAAUACCGCAUACGAUCUAUGGAUGAAAGCGGGGGACCGUAAGGCCUCGCGCGAUUGGAGCGGCCGAUGUCAGAUUAGGUAGUUGGUGGGGUAAAGGCUCACCAAGCCAACGAUCUGUAGCUGGUCUGAGAGGACGACCAGCCACACUGGGACUGAGACACGGCCGAGACGCCUACGGGAGGCAGCAGGGGGGAAUUUUGGACAAUGGGCGCAAGCCUGAUCCAGCAAUGCCGCGUGCAGGAAGAAGGCCUUCGGGUUGUAAACUGCUUUUGUACGGAACGAAAAGGUUUGGGUUAAUACCCUGGGCCGAUGACGGUACCGUAAGAAUAAGCACCGGCUAACUACGUGCCAGCCGCCGCGGUAAAAC
rnacentral:rRNA from 1 species